rnacentral:rRNA from 1 species
AUUGAACGCUGGCGGCAGGCUUAACACAUGCAAGUCGAGCGGGGUGAUGGUGCUUGCACUAUCACUUAGCGGCGGACGGGUGAGUAAUGCUUAGGAAUCUGCCUAUUAGUGGGGGACAACAUCUCGAAAGGGAUGCUAAUACCGCAUACGUCCUACGGGAGAAAGCAGGGGAUCACUUGUGAUCUUGCGCUAAUAGAUGAGCCUAAGUCGGAUUAGCUAGUUGGUGGGGUAAAGGCCUACCAAGGCGACGAUCUGUAGCGGGUCUGAGAGGAUGAUCCGCCACACUGGGACUGAGACACGGCCCAGACUCCUACGGGAGGCAGCAGUGGGGAAUAUUGGACAAUGGGGGGAACCCUGAUCCAGCCAUGCCGCGUGUGUGAAGAAGGCCUUAUGGUUGUAAAGCACCUUAAGCGAGGAGGAGGCUCUUUUGGUUAAUACCCAAGAUGAGUGGACGUUACUCGCAGAAUAAGCACCGGCUAACUCGUGCCAGCCGCCGCGGUAA